rnacentral:rRNA from 1 species
UACGGAGGGUGCAAGCGUUAUCCGGAUUCACUGGGUUUAAAGGGUGCGUAGGAGGGCAGGUAAGUCAGUGGUGAAAUCUCCAAGCUUAACUUGGAAACUGCCGUUGACACUAUCUGUCUUGAAUACCGUGGAGGUGAGCGGAAUAUGUCAUGUAGCGGUGAAAUGCUUAGAUAUGACAUAGAACACCAAUUGCGAAGGCAGCUCGCUACACGAAUAUUGACUCUGAGGCACGAAAGCGUGGGGAUCAAACAGG